AUUGAACGCUGGCGGCAGGCUUAACACAUGCAAGUCGAGCGGGGUGAUGGUGCUUGCACUAUCACUUAGCGGCGGACGGGUGAGUAAUGCUUAGGAAUCUGCCUAUUAGUGGGGGACAACAUCUCGAAAGGGAUGCUAAUACCGCAUACGUCCUACGGGAGAAAGCAGGGGAUCACUUGUGACCUUGCGCUAAUAGAUGAGCCUAAGUCGGAUUAGCUAGUUGGUGGGGUAAAGGCCUACCAAGGCGACGAUCUGUAGCGGGUCUGAGAGGAUGAUCCGCCACACUGGGACUGAGACACGGCCCAAACUCCUACGGGAGGCAGCAGUGGGGAAUAUUGGACAAUGGGGGGAACCCUGAUCCAGCCAUGCCGCGUGUGUGAAGAAGGCCUUAUGGUUGUAAAGCACUUUAAGCGAGGAGGAGGCUCUUUUGGUUAAUACCCAAGAUGAGUGGACGUUACUCGCAGAAUAAGCACCGGCUAACUCUGUGCCAGCCACCGCAGUAA
rnacentral:rRNA from 1 species